rnacentral:tRNA from 1 species
GGGGAGAUACUCAAGCGGCCAACGAGGACAGACCGUAAAUCUGUUGGUUACACCUUCUCAGGUUCGAAUCCUGCUCUCCCCA